CGGAGGGAGCGGAGCUUAGUUCCCCGGCGUCCGCGCAGCCGCCGGCACCGAAGCGGCGGAAGAUCGAGCCUUCUCGGAGGAGUAGACCUCCUCCUUCUCAAGAUGCUCCUGAUAAGGACAAGUUGGCCGCAUCAUCCAAUUCAUCGGUUUCAGCUACACAGGUAGCGAGAGUGGAUCUCAACAAAGUUAUAGAGGCAAAGAGAUUUGCUGUCUUUCAAGCACAGCACGAGGGAUGCCUUGGAAGCUUCAAAAGCUUUGAUUCUCUGUUUGGAAAUUAUCUUGUUCCUGUUACCCCAAGCGAUGACUUCUUCGAACAGAUUUCGAAGAAGUAAUACAACAGAGUUGACAGCUGUGAAGAGGUAGGACAAUGAUUCUGCUCCAUGCUAGGUAUAUCAACUGUCUAAGAUCUGUUACUGCUAGAUUUUUUAUACUAACAGAGUAAUGCUAGCUAAGACUUCAAAACAAACUCUAUGAGUACUCUACUUUAGAAAUUGAAGUUCUGUUCUUCAAAAGGGUAACUGGUUUUGAUGUACGGCUGUAGAUACUCCUACCUUGUAAGAUCUUCACCGUGCCAAAAUGUAGAGCUACUAAUUGUA